rnacentral:rRNA from 1 species
AUACGAAGGGGGCAAGCGUUGUUCGGGAUAACUGGGCGUAAAGCGCACGUAGGCGGAAUGUUAAGUUAGAGGUGAAAUCCCAGGGCUCAACCCUGGAACUGCCUUUAAUACUGGCAAUCUAGAGACCGAGAGAGGUGAGUGGAAUUCCGAGUGUAGAGGUGAAAUUCGUAGAUAUUCGGAGGAACACCAGUGGCGAAGGCGGCUCACUGGCUCGGUACUGACGCUGAGGUGCGAAAGCGUGGGGAGCAAACAGGAUUAGAAACCCCGGUAGUCC